AGAGCGAACGCUGGCGGCAGGCCUAACACAUGCAAGUCGAACGGACUCUUCGGAGUUAGUGGCGGACGGGUGAGUAACACGUGGGAACGUGCCUUUAGGUUCGGAAUAGCUCCUGGAAACGGGUGGUAAUGCCGAAUGUGCCCUUCGGGGGAAAGAUUUAUCGCCUUUUAGAGCGGCCCGCGUCUGAUUAGCUAGUUGGUGAGGUAAAGGCUCACCAAGGCUACGAUCAGUAGCUGGUCUGAGAGGAUGACCAGCCACA
rnacentral:rRNA from 1 species